UACGAAGGGAGCUAGCGUUGUUCGGAAUCACUGGGCGUAAAGCGCCCGUAGGCGGAUGUGUCAGUCAGGGGUGAAAUCCCGGAGCUCAACUUCGGAACUGCCUUUGAUACAGCACGUCUUGAGUCCGAUAGAGGUGGGUGGAAUUCCUAGUGUAGAGGUGAAAUUCGUAGAUAUUAGGAAGAACACCGGUGGCGAAGGCGGCCCACUGGAUCGGUACUGACGCUGAGGUGCGAAAGCGUGGGGAGCAAACAGG
rnacentral:rRNA from 1 species